rnacentral:rRNA from 1 species
GCAAGUCGAGCGCUUCACUUCGGUGAGUAGCGGCGGACGGGUUAGUAACGCGUGGGAACGUACCCUUUUCUACGGAAUAGCCUCGGGAAACUGAGAGUAAUACCGUAUAAGCCCUUCGGGGGAAAGAUUUAUCGGGAAAGGAUCGGCCCGCGUUAGAUUAGAUAGUUGGUGGGGUAAUGGCCUACCAAGUCUACGAUCUAUAGCUGGUUUUAGAGGAUGAUC